rnacentral:rRNA from 1 species
CCUGACUGCUAUCGGAUUGAUACUAAGCCAUGCGAGUCAUUGUAGUAAUACAAGGCAGACGGCUCAGUAACGCGUAGUCAACCUAACCUAUGGACGGGAAUAACCUCGGGAAACUGAGAAUAAUGCCCGAUAGAACAUUAUGCCUGGAAUGGUUUAUGUUCCAAACGAUUUAUCGCCAUAGGAUGGGACUGCGGCCUAUCAGUUUGUUGGUGAGGUAAUGGCCCACCAAGACUAUUACAGGUACGGGCUCUGAGAGGAGUAGCCCGGAGAUGGGUACUGAGACACGGACCCAGGCCCUAUGGGGCGCAGCASGCGAGAAAACUUUGCAAUGUGCGAAAGCACGACAAGGUUAAUCCGAGUGGUUUCUGCUAAAGGAACCUUUUGUCAGUCCUAAAAACACUAACGAAUAAGGGGUGGGCAAGUUCUGGUGUCAGCCGCCGCGGUAAAACCAGCACCUCAAGUGGUCAGGAUGAUUAUUGGGCCUAAAGCAUCCGUAGCCGGCUCUGUAAGUUUUCGGUUAAAUCUGUACGCUCAACGUACAGGCUGCCGGAAAUACUGCAUAGCUAGGGAGUGGGAGAGGUAGACGGUACUCGGUAGGAAGGGGUAAAAUCCUUUGAUCUAUUGAUGACCACCUGUGGCGAAGGCGGUCUACCAGAACACGUCCGACGGUGAGGGAUGAAAGCUGGGGGAGCAAACCGGAUUAGAUACCCGGGUAGUCCCAGCUGUAGACUAUGCAAACUCAGUGAUGCAUUGGCUUAUGGCCAAUGCAGUGCUGCAGGGAAGCCGUUAGUUUGCCGCCUGGGAAGUACGUACGCAAGUAUGAAACUUAAGGAAUUGGCGGGGAGCACSACAGGGUGAGGCCUGCGGUUC